CCUACGGGAGGCAGCAGUCGGGAAUUUUGGGCAAUGGGCGAAAGCCUGACCCAGCAACGCCGCGUGAAGGAUGAAAUCCCUCGGGAUGUAAACUUCGCAAGAACGGGAAGAAUAAGCCGGUGUUAACACCACCGGUGAUGACGGUACUGUUUGUAAGCUCCGGCUAACUCCGUGCCAGCAGCCGCGGUAAU
rnacentral:rRNA from 1 species